rnacentral:rRNA from 1 species
AUUGAACGCUGGCGGCAUGCUUUACACAUGCAAGUCGAACGGUAACAGGCCGCAAGGUGCUGACGAGUGGCGAACGGGUGAGUAAUGCAUCGGAACGUGCCCAGUCGUGGGGGGUAACGCAGCGAAAGCUGCGCUAAUACCGCAUACGAUCUAUGGAUGAAAGCGGGGGACCGUAAGCCCUCGCGCGAUUGGAGCGGCCGAUGUCAGAUUAGGUAGUUGGUGGGGUAAAGGCUAACCAAGCCACCGAUCUGUAGCUGGUCUGGGAGGACGACCAGCCACACUGGGACUGAGACACGGCCCAGACUCCUACGGGAGGCAGCAGUGGGGAAUUUUGGACAAUGGGCGCAAGCCUGAUCCAGCAAUGCCGCGUGCAGGAAGAAGGCCUUCGGGUUGUAAACUGCUUUUGUACGGAACGAAACGGCUCUGGUUAAUACCGGGGGCUAAUGACGGUACCGUAAGAAUAAGCACCGGCUAACUACGUGCCAGCAGCCGCCGUAACAC